CCUACGGGGGGCAGCAGGCGCGAAACCUCCGCAAUGUGAGAAAUCGCGACGGGGGGAUCCCAAGUGCCAUUCUUAACGGGAUGGCUUUUCAUUAGUGUAAAGAGCUUUUGGAAUAAGAGCUGGGCAAGACCGGUGCCAGCCGCCGCGGUAACACCGGCAGCUCUAGUGGUAGCAGUUAUUAUUGGGCCUAAAGCGUCCGUAGCCGGUUUAAUAAGUCUCUGGUGAAAUCCUGUAGCUUAACUAUGGGAAUUGCUGGAGAUACUAUUAGACUUGAGAUCGGGAGAGGUUAGAGGUACUCCCAGGGUAGAGGUGAAAUUCUGUAAUCCUGGGAGGACCGCCUGUUGCGAAGGCGUCUAACUGGAACGAUUCUGACGGUGAGGGACGAAAGUUAGGGGCGCGAACCGGAUUAGAUACCCGUGUAGUC
rnacentral:rRNA from 1 species